AUUGAACGUUGGCGGCAGGCCUAAAACAUGCAAGUCGAACGGUAACAGCGAGAGCUUGCUCUCGGCUGACAAGUGGCGAACGGGUGAGUAACACGUAGGAAUCUACCCAAUAGUGGGGGACAACCCGGGGAAACCCGGGCUAAUACCGCAUACGCCCUCUUAUCGAAAGAGUAAGGAGGAAGGCGGGGAUCUUCGGACCUCGCGCUAGUUGGAGGACGCCUGCGGUCGGUAUUAGCUUAGGUUGGUAAGGGUAAACGCCACCGAAGGCGACGAUCCGUAGCUGGUCUGAGAGGACGAUCAGCCACACUGGAACUGAGACACGGUCCAGACUCCGUACGGG
rnacentral:rRNA from 1 species